rnacentral:tRNA from 1 species
GCCGGCAUAGCACAGCGGUAGUGCGGCUGAUUUGUAAUCAGCAGGUCGUCGGUUCGAAUCCGACUGUCGGCU